GGUAAUACGUAGGGUGCAAGCGUUAAUCGGAAUUACUGGGCGUAAAGCGUGCGCAGGCGGUCUUGCAAGACAGAUGUGAAAUCCCCGGGCUCAACCUGGGAACUGCAUCUGUGACUGCAUAGCUAGAGUACGGUAGAGGGGGAUGGAAUUCCGCGUGUAGCAGUGAAAUGCGUAGAUAUGCGGAGGAACACCGAUGGCGAAGGCAAUCCCCUGGGCCUGCACUGAC
rnacentral:rRNA from 1 species